UGCGUAGGUGGUUUCUUAAGUCAGAGGUGAAAGGCUACGGCUCAACCGUAGUAAGCCUUUGAAACUGGGAAACUUGAGUGCAGGAGAGGAGAGUGGAAUUCCUAGUGUAGCGGUGAAAUGCGUAGAUAUUAGGAGGAACACCAGCUGCGAAGGCGGCUCUCUGGACUGUAACUGACACUGAGGCACGAAAGCGUGGGGAGCAAACA
rnacentral:rRNA from 1 species